rnacentral:rRNA from 1 species
AAGGAAUAUUGGGCAAUGGACGCAAGUCUGACCCAGCCAUGCCGCGUGAAGGAAGACGGCCCUAUGGGUUGUAAACUUCUUUUCUCAGGGGGUAAACUUCGGAACGUGUUCCGGACUGAAAGUACCUGAGGAAUAAGCAUCGGCUAACUCCGUGCCAGCAGCCGCGGUAAUACGGAGGAUGCGAGCGUUAUCCGGAUUCAUUGGGUUUAAAGGGUGCGCAGGCGGAUAUAUAAGUCGGAGGUGAAAUUCUGAUGCUCAACAUCAGCCGUGCCUUCGAUACUGUAUAUCUAGAGUCAAGUUGGAGUAGGCGGAAUGUGUUGUGUAGCGGUGAAAUGCUUAGAUAUAACACAGAACACCGAUCGCGAAGGCAGCUUACUAAACUUUGACUGACGCUCAUGCACGAAAGCGUGGGGAUCAAAC